CUUGGCCUCCCAAAGUGUUGGGAUUACAGGUGUAAGCCACUGAGCCUGGCCAUUAAGUCCCCAUUUCUUUGGGGUCAACUAUUAGAGCUUUAUUUUGUUGCUUUAAAGGUGUCAUAUUUCCUUGAUUCUUUGUAUAUAUAUAUUUUUGAAGACUUGCGCUGCUAUCUUCACAUUUGAAGAAGCGGUCACCUCCUUUAGUCUUACUUGUUUCUUAUUAAAAUUUUUUUAAUGUUUUUUUUUAAGAGAUGGGAUCUCACUAUGUUGCCCAGGGUGGUCUCAAACUCCUGGCCUCAAGUGAUCCUCCCACCUCAGCCUCCCAAAGUGCUGAGAUUACAGGUGUAAGCUACCAUGCCUGGCUGUCCCCCAGUCUUUGUUGACUGGCUUUGGGAGAGAAAGACCUUCAUCAGUCAUCCUAGCUAAGGAUUUGAGGGAUCGCUCAGAUCUUUUCUGUAGAUACACCCACUCUACUCCUGUUGCUCCCUCUUAGGGAGAGAAGUCUUAGGUUGUAAGCUCCUCUCAAUCCUCCAAAGCUGGGUCUACACUGAGCACCUCCCAUUUUCCCUAAUGCAGUGCUCUGAAGCAUUCAAGGUUGGGCACCUUCUCCCAGUCCAGCAGAGUCAAGCCGGCUGCUCAGAUUUGCAUCUGCCGUUGAGAUCUGUGUACUGUUUGGGAGGAGGGUGCAUGAGACACCAUAUGCUCAGGGGUACGUGGAGUGCUGGGGGCAUGGAUCAGUUGGUUGGGGGGCCCACAGGCAAGUUGUUCUGUGGGUUCAUGGGCGGGCCUCCUGGUGGAGUGUUAGCUGGUUAGUGGGAUCCAUGGCUGGCUGUUGGUUGCUAGGCAUGUCCUUCCCUUCUCCUAGCAGUCCCCAGGUGACUCAGCCAUGCUGAUUCCUCAGUGUUCUGGGGAGAGACACAGGUGGGCUAUUGGGCAGCAUCCUAUAAGGUUGGGGAAGCUGGUGCUCACUCAGCACUCAGUUUCCCCUGUGGGAGAAACCACAGGCCCAGGGGGGCCUCAUUGGAGGAGCACUAGCACAGGUAAACUGAACCUUCUUAGCCUCUUCGGUGUGCUCUCUUUGCCCUGUGGGGUGCUAGAACCUCUCAGUGUUUCUGUGGGGGCAUGAGGGCUGGAACCUCCUAUUCUGUCACCUUCCUGGCCUCUUCCUACAAUUAUUUUUAUGCUCAAAUUGCCCCCGAUUUGGACAGGGGGAGAGCCUUCAGGCUGCUCCUCCAGCCCUCUCACAUGUCCCCAACGUUGUUCAGCAUUUCCUUAUUUUCCAGCACUAGACAUUCUAAGGCUCACCCUGUACUCUCUCUGCUCUUCCCUGGAAAUAGUCAUUUCUCCAAAGAGUUCUGUUCCCUUGGAAUAGAGAAUGGUAUUUACAAACCAAGAAAUGGAUUUCAGGUGUGCCAGUUGUUUCUGGGGUGGCAUUGCUUCUAGGCCCCUUCGGUGGACAGAGCUGGGAAAGAAACUGUGUGUAUCAUAUAUAUCUGCACACGUAAGCUGUGUGUGUAUCAUAUAUAAUACAUCUGCACAUAUAAACUGUGUAUGUAUCAUAUAUAAUACAUCUGCACUUAUAAACUGUGUAUGUAUCAUAUAUUAAUACAUCUGCACAUAUAAACUAUCAUCUGUACAUAUAAACUGUAUAUCAUAUAUAUCUGCACAUAUAAACAGUAUCAUAUAAUACAUCUGCACAUGUAAACUGUAUCAUAUCUGCACAUAUAAACUGUAUAUCAUAUAUAUCUGCACAUAUAAACUAUCAUAUAUAAUACAUCUGCACAUACAAACUAUCAUAUCUGCACAUAUAAACUAUAUCAUAUAUAUCUGCACAUAUAAACUAUCAUAUAUAAUACAUCUGCACAUACAAACUGUAUGUAUCAUAUAUAAUACAUCUGCACUUAUAAACUGUAUCAUACAUAAUACAUCUGCACAUAUAAACUGUAUCAUAUCUACACAUAAACUGUAUAUAUCAUAUAAUAUAUGCGCAUAUAAACUAUCAUAUAUCUGCACAUAUAAACUAUGUAUCAUAUAUAUCUGCACAUAUAAACUGUGUGUAUCAUAUAUAGUACAUCUGUACAUAUAAACUGUAUCAUAUACAUCUGCACAUAUAAACUAUCAUAUAUAAUACAUCUGCACUUAUAAACUGUGUACCAUAUAUAUCUGCACAUAUAAACUGUAUCAUAUAUAUCUGCACAUAUAAACUAUCAUAUAUAAUACAUCUGCACAUAUAAACUGUAUCAUAUAUAAUCUGCACUUAUAAACUGUAUCAUAUAUAUCUGCACAUAUAAACUGUAUCAUAUAUAUCUGCACAUAUAAACUGUCAUAUAUAAUACAUCUGCACAUAUAAACUGUGUGUAUCAUAUAUACAUCUGCACAUAUAAACUGUGUGUAUCAUAUAUAAUACAUCUGCACUUAUAAACUGUAUCAUAUAUAUCUGCACAUAUAAACUGUAUCAUAUAUAAUAUAUCUGCACAUAUAAACUGUCAUAUAUAUGCACAUAUAAACUAUCAUAUAUAAUACAUCUGCACAUAUAAACUGUGUAUCAUAUAUAAUACAUCUGCACAUAUAAACUAUCAUAUAUAAUACAUCUGCACAUAUAAACUGUAUCAUAUAUAAUACAUCUGCACAUAUAAACUGUGUAUCAUAUAUAAUACAUCUGCACUUAUAAACUGUGUCAUAUAUCUGCACAUAUAAACUAUCAUAUAAUACAUCUGCAUAUAUAAACUAUCAUAUAUACAUCUGCACAUAUAAACUAUAUCAUAUAUCUGCACAUAUAAACUGUGUGUGUAUCAUAUAUCUGCACAUAUAAAUGUGUGUAUCAUAUAUAUCCACACAUAUAAACUGUGUGUGUAUCAUAUAUCUACACAUAUAAACUGUGUGUAUCAUAUAUAAUACAUCUGCACAUAUAAACUGUGUGUAUCAUAUAUAUCCGCACAUAUAAACUGUGUGUGUAUCAUAUAUAUCUGCACAUAUAAACUGUGUGUGUAUCAUAUAUAAUACAUCUGCACACAUGCUUCUCUGUAUUGAAAACCAAAUUGUCACGGACCACUCCCAUUCUCACGCAGCAUUUAGGGCUGUGGCUAGCCUUUCCCAGCUGUAAGAAACCUGUCUUUCAGCAUGAUAAACACAUUUACUUAUUUGCUCAGUCCUCUAAUAUGCAGAAAGUAGUUUUAGAAUUGCCAAAACCAUACAACUUGGAAAAACAAGCAUGAUUACUUCAAGAUGUGUUUGUAGCUCCUUCUGUCCUGGCAUUGGACGUGGAGAGAAAGCACAGACUGUUCCAAGUUUCAUUUUUCCCCUUCUCUGAAACGCAGAGAGCGUUGUUUGUUUCUGUUUGUAUUUCAUUUGGGUCCUCCCUCUAGCCUUAUUCAUAAAUUUGUAAAUGAUCUUUAACAAUCUGUUAUAUUUAUGAUGUUUUACUGCGUGCUGCCUGUGAAAAUGUUUCCUUCUUCUGACACGUUCCAGAACAACUAGGCUUUUAAAUUCCAAAUAUUCCUGUUUCACAAUAAACCAGAUGAGGGCCUCUGUUGUGCCACAGCUUUUGGAAUGUGGUUUAUUACCAAUAGAAGUGGCUGCGUGGCUUGUUAUGGUUUCAAUUACACGUGAGUAACAACCGGGGCCCUUCUGUGUCAGGUGCUGCUGAUCAAGGCUGGCUAAUGGGGACCUCGCUGUCCAGAACGGGCGUUUCCCAUGGCCCGGCCCAGCUGUUUACCACUUCUGUCUACCAUUUCAGAGGGGCUUUGCGGAGAUUAAAUGAGGUGAAGCGCUCUGAGAACCUCAGUCCUAAAGAAUAGCAGUUAUACUGGUUUUUGUAUUAUAUUUAUAUAUUCUUCUUGUUAAUAUACUGGUUUUAAUGUUCAUCGUUCUCUUGGGAUCCCAUGACAGUGAGCCUGGUGUACCUGAGGUCUGGGAUACUCACACCUCUCCCCAGUCCCAUGCUCCCCACUGUGGCAGUGCCUGUCAGGGACCCUGCUGACCCCAGGAAGCCUCGGUGUCCCCAGCGCUGGCUCUGCUCACACAGGCAGCAGGCUUAGUGUUCUCUGGCCUGGCUGCACUGACUGGACCAGGGACAGGGGAAGGGCCCCAAAGCACCCUGUUCCAGGCAGCCGGCCAGUCGUGGCCGAGGAGCUCCAUUCAACAGUGGCACCCAGAGGGGCCAGGGUCUCAUAAAGCUGGUCAGACGCCCCCUCUGGGUAGGGGUGUAGGAAGCGGCUGUGCAGCCGGGUCCCAGGUAGGGAGGCAUAGAGUGAAGGCUGUGAGCAGGAGCCCUGGGGCGGAGGGCCAGGAGAAGGCUGGGCACAGGUCCAUCGGUGGCAGCUGGGUGGGCAGAGCAGAGAGGCUGCAUCUGCACGACGGCAGGGCCCUGGUGUGGGAACAGCAGACGGGGCCCCUGGGUGCGGCGCCUCCUUCCCACAUCCCUGCUGCUCCUGCAUCUGCUGCUGGAGAAGACCACGACGUGCUCAGACCCCGGCACUGGAGAACUCCAGAUGUGGUGAGGGCUGCACGUUAGCUGCAUACGCACAUCUGGAAGGUGAGGCAGACGUGCCCACCGCCUCCAUGCCUGGCCCACAGUUGUGGGCAUGCAGAGCUCCUCUGUGGCAGGCCCAGGCUGCACCAGCUGCCUGGAGAGGCACUGGGGGCGGGGCCUCACUUGAGGGGCAGAUUCUCCCACCCAGCCAGUCCAGGCCCAGCGGCUGGAGCAUCCCGUCCAGCAAAUUGUCCUGCAAGUUGCCCUGGAGACCCAGCGUCUCUCAUCACGUCUCACUCCCCUGCCAGAUGCCUCUGCGGCAAUAACGAGAGUGGCUCUGCCUUCUGCACUGAAUGCCGACAGGUGACCAGAACAUGACACUGGGGUUAUGCAGUGCCCUGGUUGAUAUUCUAGUUCAUCAGGGAGCUUCUGGAAUGAUUUUUUUUUUCUUUUUUUUUUUUUUUUGAGACAGAGUCUCUCUCUGUCGCCCAGGCUGGAGUGCAAUGGAGCAAUCUUGGCUCACCACAACCUCUGCCUCCGGGGUUCAAGUGAUUCUCCUGUCUGAGCCUCCUGAGUAGCUGGGAUUACAGGUGUCCACCACUAUCACUCAGUUAAUUUUUAUAUUUUUAGUAGAGAUGGGGUUUCACCAUGUUGCCUGGGCUGGUCUCAAACUCCUGACCUCAGGUGAUCUGCCUCCUCAGCCUCCCAAAGUGCUGGGAUUACAGGCAUGAGCCACCUCACCCAGCCAACUUUCUUUUGCUUCACUUUUCCUCUGGUUGCCCCAUCUUUAUUGUCAAGUCCUGUUAAGAGGAACAACAUUAAAAUGAGAGCUUUCAUGGCAAAAAGGUUGCUGUGGGUUGAGCUUGCAAUGUUAGCUGCGUGUUAGGAUUCAGCUGACAUCUGUCUCUGGAGUCUCGCCCUUUCUGUAAUUCGCUUUUGACUGUAAUAAAUGUUGUACAGUGAAUGUGUGGGUGGGGCCUCUGAGUUACAUCGGCUCAAGGCCUCUUUUAAGGAGGACCCAAAUAAGAGUGGGGAUUGAUGUAUUUGACUGGGAACCCACUCAGGGCCACCAUGCAGUGAAGCUCCGGAGCAGGGGUGUAGACGCCCUGCUUGAAGCGUUGAGAAGCCCCACAGUACAAGUGUGCAGAAGUCAAGCUCCUCCUGCUGGAGCAGGGACAGGGCAAUAGGGAAAGGCUUUUCCAGAGGCAGGGUCAUUGGGACUGGCUCUUCCGGGAGGAGCUGAGGGCACACGCUGGGCAGAGCUGACCUCUGUGUGCGGAUCGCCUGGGAUGGCGCCUCCGGUGGCCUCACGAUAAAGCACCUCAGAGGCAGGAGAUGAACUUGAGACCUGACCGUGAAGGAGUGAGGAGUGAAGUCCUCUUCUCAACAGAAGGAAACCAUCAAAGAGGUUACAUAAUCAAAACUGUGUUGUCAAAAUAUUGCUGGACAGAGAUGGCGGCUGGUCCGGCACGUGGGAAUGUUGGUGACAAGAGGUCAGUUCGGUGGCUCUUGGACCUCCCAGGCCAGGAGGGAAGCGCCCAGGCCAAGGUGGGAGCCUGAGAAUAGAGAUUUCAAGAGACGCUUCUAAUGAAUGCUCAUCAGAAUGUUAUUAUUAUUUUAUUUUAUUAUUUUAUUGGGACUGGAUUGACUUGCAUUUCCUUCACUAAUCAGAAGUUUGAGGGCAAAGAUAAAUCUCAAAUAAUCACCUUGCAUUUCUGAUGAGUUAAAUGAGUGUGUUUUAUGCCCUGGUUGUAUGAGCUUGCUUUUCCACAAAUAAGAGUGGAAAUUUUAUUUUAUUAUUAUUUUGUAUUAUUAUUUUAUUUUAUUUUU
rnacentral:lncRNA from 1 species